rnacentral:lncRNA from 1 species
CAAAAACGGGUGGGCUAUAGCCUUGGGGGGUGGGGCUGGCCAACUUCGUCCGCCGGACUCGGAAUGGCGUGAGACUUUGCGAGGCACUCCGUGUGCCAAAAAUAGGCCGCGGGCACAGCCGCAUCCAAAAAUAACCUCCCGAAGGCCGGGGCGCCAAGUUCGUCCAGCGGAAAAAGCCCACAAAAACGGAUGGGCUAUAGCUUUGGGGGGUGGGGCCGGCCAACUUCGUCCGCCGGACUCGGAAUGGCGCGAGGCAUUGCGAGGCACCUCCGUGUGCCAAAAAUAGGCCAUGAGUAAAGCCGCGCCCAAAAAUAACCACCCGAAGGCCGGGGCGCCAAGUUCGUCCAGCGGAAAAAGCCCACAAAAACAGGUGGGCUAUAGCCUUGGGGUGUGGGGCUGGCCAACUACGUCCGCCGGACUCGGAGUGGCGCGAGACUUUGCGAGGCACCUCCGUGUGCCAAAAAUAAGCUGCGGGCACAGCCGCAUCCAAAAAUAACCUCCCGAAGGCCGGGGCGCCAAGUUCGUCCAGCGGAAAAAGCCCACAAAAACGGGUGGGCUAUAGCCUUGGGGGGUGGGGCUGGCCAACUUCGUCCGCCGGACUCGGAAUGGCGCGAGACUUUGCGAGGCGCCUCCGUGUGCCAAAAAUAGGCCAUGGGCAAAGCCGCGCCCAAAAAUAACCGCCCGAAGGCCGGGGCGCCAAGUUCGUCCAGCGGAAAAAGGCCACAAAAACGGGUGGGCUAUAGGCUUGGGGGGUGGGGCUGGCCAACUUCGUCCGCCGGACUCGGAAUGGCGCGAGACUUUGCGAGGCACCUGCGUGUGCCAACAAUAGGCCACGAGCAAAUCGGCGCCCAAAAAUAACCGCCCGAAGGCCGGGGCGCCAAGUUCGUCCAGUGGAAAAAGGCCACAAAAACGGGUGGGCUAUAGCCUUGGGGGGUGGGGCUGGCCAACUUCGUCCGCCGGACUCGGAAUGGCGUGAAACCUUGCGAGGUGCCUCCGUGUGCCAAAAAUAGGCCGCGGGCACAGCCGCGUCCAAAAAUAACCACCCGAAGGCCGGGGCGCCAAGUUCGUCCAGCGGAAAAAGCCCACAAAAACAGGUGGGCUAUAGCCUUGGGGUGUGGGGCUGGCCAACUACGUCCGCCGGACUCGGAAUGGCGCGAGACAUUGCGAGGCACCUCCGUGUGCCAAAAAUAGGCUGCGGGCACAGCCGCGUCCAAAAAUAAUCUCCCGAAGGCCGGGGCGCCAAGUUCGUCCAGCGGAAAAAGCCCACAAAAACGGGUGGGCAAUAGCCUUGGGGGGUGGGGCUGGCCAACUUCGUCCGUCGGACUCGGAAUGGCGCGAGACUUUGCGAGGCGCCUACGUGUGCCCAAAAUAGGCCGCAGGCAAAGCCGCGCCCAAAAAUAACCGCCCGAAGGCCGGGG